rnacentral:rRNA from 1 species
CACGUAGGAGGCGAGCGUUGUCCGGAAUCAUUGGGCGUAAAGAGCGCGCAGGCGGCUUGGCAAGUCGGGUGUGAAAUCCCGGGGCUCAACCCCGUGACUGCAUCCGAUACUGUCAGGCUAGAGGUAGGUAGGGGAGAUCGGAAUUCCUGGUGUAGCGGUGAAAUGCGCAGAUAUCUGGAGGAACACCGGUGGCGAAAGACGCGAGACUGGGCCAUAAUGACGC